AUGAUACUCCCUCCGUCUGAAAAAGCUGAUCCCAAGCUUGUUCCUCAAAUGGAUGUAUCUAGCACUAACUUGAUGCUAGAUACAUCAAUUUAAGGGACAAGCUUUUCCGGACGGAGGGAGUAAUAA
rfam:Triticum aestivum genome assembly, contig: Triticum_aestivum_CS42_TGACv1_scaffold_272518_3DS